AGAGGGAUCAAGGUGGACCCUGCAAAUCCAAUCCUCUUCCCACUGCCAUGCUGGAAAAGACGCCCUGAAAUUUCGUUCUGAUUAUGUAACGCUGUUAACUGGACAAUUGCUUCACCUCUCCGCAUUAUGUACGAGACGCGGCCAGGAAAUGAUGCAAUUACCAAAAGAAUCAAGGAACCUUCCAGCCCAGCCUCAAUUCAGAAAUCCUUGUGAAAUACGAGCAGAAGGCAAUAGGAUGUAACUCAGCUUUGAAAGUGCCAACCGUUACAGCUGAACAAAUGUAACCCAAGAGACUCCGCUCCGCUGCAAGAUGGAAGGAGGCUUAAGCAAAACACUUAUAAAUUUGUAACGAACUUGCUCAUGACAUCCGGCGCCGGUGUGAGUUACAGCCGUCAUCCGUCAGCACAGAAUUCAGGAAAGCUACAUUAAGUGAUGUGUCCUUCUCAGUGCAUUACAUCAGAAGCACAGAAUGCUGAUGUAUCGCAUUGUCUCUGAUGGUAAAUGUGGUAAGCAGAAUAAUGGCCCCCACGGAGACAUCCCUGUCCUCAUCUCCAGAACAUGUGAAUAUGUUACUCUGCAUGGCAGUAGGAACUUUGCAGGUGUGAUUAAAUUAAGAAUUUUGAGACAGAGGAGAUUAUCCUGGAUUAUCUGGGUGAACCCUAAAUCCUCACAAGGGUCCUUAUAAGUGAUGGAGGGAGGCAGGAGAGUCAGUGUCCCAGUGAUGUGAUCUGAGGAAGACUCAACCAGUGUUUGUUGGCCUUGAAGAUGGAGGAAAGGGACGUUGAGCCAAGGAAUGCAAGUGGCCUCUAGAAGCUGGAAAAGGCAAGGAAAGUUAUUCUCCCCUAGAGCCCCUAGAAAGAAAAUAGCCCUGCCAACACUAGAUUUUAGCAUAGUGAGAUGUGUGUUAGACUUCUCGACUAGAGAACUGUAAGGUAAUACAUUUGUGUUUUUUAAGCCACUAAGUUUGUGGUAAUUUUUCACAACAGCAAUAGGAAAUUAAUACAGUUAAGUUUGAUCAUUUGGUUAAGGUGUCUGCCAUAUUUCUCCAUGAUACAGUUACCUUUUAUACUUGUAAUUAACAAAUGUUGAAAAAAGCAAUUAUCACCCAUGGAAGUAAUACUUUGAGAAUAUAUGUCUUUUCUGUUCUUCAGCAAACUUUCACCCAAUGGUGUUAGCAUCCACUGAUGAUCCUUGCCUGAAUCAAUUAUUACUAUGUUGAUUACAAAACGGUGAUAUUUUAAUUUUAUUAUUCUCAUAUAAAGAACUUUCCUUGCUCUCCUCCCUCUUUUUAUCUUUAUUUAAUUUUCAAAUAUCAGUUUGAACAAUUCUUUUUUC